rnacentral:tRNA from 1 species
AGUUAAUGAACUUGAAAUAAGUAUAUACUUUGAAAGUAUACUAUAGAAAUAUAAAUUUUCUAUUAACUU